ACCUUGCUGGCUCAGUUGAAAGAGCAUGUGACUCUGGAUCCCGAGAUCAUGAGUUCGAGCCCCACGUGGGGUG
rnacentral:tRNA from 1 species